rnacentral:rRNA from 1 species
UACGGAGGGUGCGAGCGUUUGUCCGGAAUCACUGGGCGUAAAGGGCGCGUAGGUGGCGCGGGUAGUCAUCGGUGAAAGUUCAGGGCUCAACUCUGAAUCGGCCGGUGAUACUCCCGUGCUCGAGCACUGUAGAGGCAGGUGGAAUUCCGGGUGUAGCGGUGGAAAUGCGCAGAUAAUCAGGAGGAACACCAAUUGCGAAGGCAGCUCGCUGGAACGUAAACUGACGCUGAGACGCGAAAGCGUGGGGAGCAAACAGG